rnacentral:rRNA from 1 species
AGCGAACGCUGGCGGCAGGCUUAACACAUGCAAGUCGAACGCCCCGCAGGGGGAGUGGCAGACGGGUGAGUAACACGUGGGAACGUACCCUUUGGUUCGGAAUAACUUGGGGAAACUCAAGCUAAUACCGGAUAAGCCCUUAUGGGGAAAGGUUUACUGCCGAAGGAUCGGCCCGCGUCUGAUUAGCUAGUUGGUGAGGUAAUGGCUCACCAAGGCGACGAUCAGUAGCUGGUCUGAGAGGAUGAUCAGCCACACUGGGACUGAGACACGGCCCAGACUCCUACGGGAGGCAGCAGUGGGGAAUAUUGGACAAUGGGGGCAACCCUAAUCCAGCCAUGCCGCGUGAGUGAUGAAGGCCUUAGGGUUGUAAAGCUCUUUUACCCGGGACGAUAAUGACUGUACCGGGAGAAUAAGCCCCGGCUAACUUCGUGCCAGCCGCCGCUGUAA